GGUGAGUAACACGUAUCCAACCUGCCUCAUACUCGGGGAUAGCCUUUCGAAAGAAAGAUUAAUACCCGAUGUCAUAGUCCUACCGCAUGAUGGGAUUAUUAAAGAAUUUCGGUAUGGGAUGGGGAUGCGUUCCAUUAGUUAGUUGGCGGGGUAACGGCCCACCAAGACGACGAUGGAUAGGGGUUCUGAGAGGAAGGUCCCCCACAUUGGAACUGAGACACGGUCCAAACUCCUACGGGAGGCAGCAGUGAGGAAUAUUGGUCAAUGGACGAGAGUCUGAACCAGCCAAGUAGCGUGAAGGAUGACUGCCCUAUGGGUUGUAAACUUCUUUUAUAUGGGAAUAAAAUGUUCCACGUGUGGGAUUUUGUAUGUACCAUAUGAAUAAGGAUCGGCUAACUCCGUGCCAGCAGCCGCGGUAAUACGGAGGAUCCGAGCGUUAUCCGGAUUUAUUGGGUUUAAAGGGAGCGUAGGUGGAUUGUUAAGUCAGUUGUGAAAGUUUGCGGCUCAACCGUAAAAUUGCAGUUGAAACUGGCAGUCUUGAGUACAGUAGAGGUGGGCGGAAUUCGUGGUGUAGCGGUGAAAUGCUUAGAUAUCACGAAGAACUCCGAUUGCGAAGGCAGCUCACUGGACUGCAACUGACACUGAGGCUCGAAAGUGUGGGUAUCAAACAGGAUUAGAUACCCUGGUAGU
rnacentral:rRNA from 1 species